UAAGCCCUGGUCCUGUUUCCUGGACAAACCUUGGAUCUACACUGUGGAUGCUGGCCCUGAUCAAUGGGCUGUGGAUAUUUGCCUUGCCUGGGACCAGUGAUGGAUCUUGUUACCAGCACCUGUUCCUGCCUGCUGUGCUCCAGCCCUGUUGAUGUGGACAAGGAUGUGAAAAGGAAUUGCUGGGCGAGUACCCUGCAAGCAGUACUUGCCUGGUAUCCGUUUUCUGGAGAAUGGUCUGUGGGACACUGCAGGGUUAACCUCUUUUAAUGGCUAUGUGAAGCUGAGGCAGAUUCUGGUAUCACUCAUGAGGAUUAAAAUCUACGAGGUUUAUCUUUCAGUGCAGAUUCAGAGUCCUUGGUGGAAUAACUGGUGUCAAAUUGGAGGAUGAGACUCAAAAUGAUCUUGGGAGCAAUUUUUUGAGAGAGAAAAGAUGGACUUUUGGGGGAGCAGCUGCUGUGUGGGGCCAUCUCCACACUGAGGUCUCAUCAACUGUCUCUUCUCUGCUGAUUGUGGGAUAACAUUAGAAUGAAUAAUACUAAAACUUGCCAUAUUGGAAAGUCUCCCUGGUGAAAGGCGCUGUGACAACCCUUGUGGAGCUGUCAACGUGAGAAGAGACUCAUUGCUGCUGAUGCUGACUGGAAACCGUCUGCUGCUCAGCAGUGCAUCACUGCCUCCUCCGGUAGCGCGUUUCAGUUUCCAAACUACAUCUGUCAAACAUCCUUGGCAUUU